rnacentral:rRNA from 1 species
CAACUUUCAACAACGGAUCUCUUGGCUCUCGCAUCGAUGAAGAACGCAGCGAAAUGCGAUAAGUAAUGUGAAUUGCAGAUUUUCAGUGAAUCAUCGAAUCUUUGAACGCACCUUGCGCUCCUUGGUAUUCCGAGGAGCAUGCCUGUUUGGUGUCAUUA